CCGGCCGCGGGGCCCAGCACCCGGCUGGAGCCGUUCCUGCAUCCCGUCACCGGCCGUGCGAAAGGGGAAGGUUUUCAUGUUUCACUUGGUGAACUUCUCUUCUGGAUAUGUAAGUAUCUAAUAUAUUUAUCUGCAAUUAAUCUAUGAGUGCUCUAACUGUACUGAGAUUUGUCAUUCCAAAUCCAAACUCCAGUUGUAGGUUAAAGAUUCACACCUAAAAGUAGAAAACCAAAGGCCUGGCAUCUCAUUCUAAGAGUUAUUUUCAAGUGUGCACAAUAGUAUUGGCUAAAUGGACAGAGAAGCAUUUUUCCAGGACUUGUAUAAAGGUGGCUGGAAUGGUCUGCUUUAGGCUGCUGCAUUUUUUAGACAUUAAACUAAGACAAGAAGCUUCCAAUUUAAUAAAAAAUGUUUUGAAAGUUGCUAAGCAACUUAUAGAAUCUUGCUUUUUAAGAAGUCCAUUUAUUUGCUUAAUUUCAGGAAAAGGUUGUAUGUUAUUGUCUAAGUUGUAUAAAUAAAAAGAGAAAAGCAAAAAAGGAAAUGUAAUAGAAAAUUUUCUUUGCUUUCUGUCUUUUGCAAUUAAAACCCUUUUAGUUGUUUUGUGGGGUUUCAUCAGGUAUUCAACAAAUGUUAUUUAUGUAUAAAACUUCAACAGUUUAUUGACUAUACAAGAAAGGAAAAAAAUUAAACAGGUUUGUCAUAUGGUAUGUGUUUAUCUUAACCUUUCUUCUUCAAAAAUCUUAUCUACUAAGUACUUUUAUCAGACACUAAUUAUACUCCCUCUGAAAAGAAUUUCUCCAACACCCUUCAGUGCCUACACCCUUUAAUCAUAUCUCAUUACAUCUACCUAAUCCAUCUCUUUUUCGCAUUGCCAGUGCUCAUUAAUAGUUUUAAAAGCCAGUCCUGGAUAUUAUCUUUCCUUUCUGUAGAAAUAUAAAUAUUACCAAUACUGUUUUAUUCCUAGAUUUCAUAGCCAUUUGUAAUUGGAUAAAAACUAUUUGAAAAUACUGAGGUUUUUUUUCAAAAAAUAAUUCUAAAGUAUGUGACAGAACAGCAGUAAAAUCUUAUAGGUCCUUUCACAAAUUGUUGUUUUUAUAAGCUAUUUUAAUUUUGAAAGGAAGUGAUUUUUGGCUAAAAUUUAACAGAUACUGUGCUUCACAGAUAUUUUAUAGGUGAGACAUAUAUCACCUUGUAAACAAAGUGGGCGACCCAAAGGAUUUCUAAAUGAUUGUGAGAGGGAAAAAAAAAAAAAAGAAAUUAUAGGGAAAACAAAAAGCCUUCCAUUAUUCUUUUGCCCUGUGCAUGCCUUUUAUCAGUGCAGUUUGAAAAGCUUAUAUAAAAUGUCUCUAGUAUAGUGACAGCUAAAGUGAAUUGAUUGACACAGAAUGAAUAAUUGGUCAAAUUUUGGUUUUUUUUCUGUUCUCCAAUUGUUUGCAAACAGGCUACAAAAUUCUUUACUACUGUUACACUUUAAAAUUAUUUAUAAAUCACUUCAGCGAGUAAUCCUCAAUCUAUAGACCCUCCUGUUUGUUGUGAGUUUUGACAAUUUGUAAUAUACAUUUUUUUAAUUCAUUAAGUAGCCUAUGUGAAUUUGUGCUCCUAUUUUCAGAAUAGAUAGGUCUACAUUAUGCCAGCUUGCCUCAGCUGAAAAUCUGAGCAGAGUAUCGGUUAAUUUUCCAAAGUUAAUAUGUCAUGAUCAUGGCUUUGAGGUAAAACGAGUUGCCAAAUUUCAACUAGGAAGAUUAUUUUCCCCAGAUCUGAUUAGAAGAACCACUGAGAGGUUAUUUUCAUCUCCUUUUGUAAUGAAUAAUAUUACUAUGUUCUAUGGAUUAACUGGCAGUUUUAUUCAAUAUAUUGCAAUUAUAAUUUCAAGAACCUGUGAAAUUUUUUCUCAUCCUCUGGUACACCUUAAUUCUAGCUUUUAACUAAAUCCCAAAUUAAGUUAAUACCAUGAUUGAGAAAGCGAUUAUUUGUUUUUUUGUUUGUUUUUUAAGAACCAUGGACACAGAGUAUACAUCCACUCACACUUGAUUCCUUGGAGGUAGGAAGAGCAAGCACAAUGUCCUGAAUUUCAGGAAUCUUGGGUUGACCAAGGCAAUUUUGUAUAAGUGUUGCAUCUAUUUAAUGACAAACUGUGGCUAUAGGGCAGCCUUAUGGAUCUUUUCAGUCCCAUCUUCUCAUCCAGCAGUAGAAAAUUCAGAAUUUACAUUUUACUCUGAAGUUAAAAUAUGUUUGCAGGCAAUACAACUGAUAUGUCAUACAAAUACAUUCAGAAUAACUGACAUUAUUCACAAAGCAAAUGAAUAUAAUCUGGAGUGUCAUCUGUAAAUAUGGUACUGGUUUGCUAUGUUUGUAAUUACUGCUUCUUUUCACUGAAGAGCUGAUUUAUGUAGGUCAACAUAAUAUAUGAAAAAAUUGUAGAUAUAAAAGUUACAGUCAACCAAAACUUGCUUUUAGAACUACAAAUGAAUUCAAGCUGAAAAAUAUUUUUUUAAGUAUUCCUUAUUACAGAACAAUUGCAUUGUUUUCAGGAAGCAAACAGAAAAUGUCACACCUUGAGUAAACCUAAAGGCAAUGUGUUAUUUCCCAAUCUGUAAAAAUAUGUAUGGUUUGAGAUGUCUUUUUGUUUCACACUGAAAAUAAAACUCUUUAGAACACUUUUAUGUAUGUAAUAAAAUUGCAUACAACUAUUUUGGAACCAAAUAUUUUUUUUGUUUGUUUGUGUAUUUCUAUUUCCAAUCCUUUGUUUUACUCUCUCAUUAGGAAAUUACUAAAUUGACAAGCCAGGAUAUUUAGAACAUUCCCAUUGUAAACAUCAUUAAAUCUGAUACAUUUUUAUGGAACAUUUUGGCUUCAUGGAAAGAUAUAUUUAGAUGAGAAAAAAAGUCAAAUAAAGUAUAACCAGUUAUAAUUCUACUCAAACUGAUAUUCAUAUUCAAAUUUGAAUUAAUAUUUAUAUGUUAUUUUUUCCAAAGAUUCUUCAGACCAAAUAAUUUGGGUAGACGUGAGUUAUGCCAACAACUCUCUACCCAAGUACCUCACUGUAAGAUAGGUUUGGACCUCACAGGGAGGUGGGGAUGUUUCCAGUGCACCCUGUUAUGGUCACCUCAGUGUCUAUAUCUAAAUGCUGUUAUUGAAGUUUGCUAGGGUAGAAUUCUUUCACAGUUCACAUUGAUGCUUUUCCUUCAUUAGCUAUUUAUUAUGGUUUUUUGGUUUUGCUAUAGCUAAGCUUAAUGUUAGCACUCUCUUUCAGAAAAAGAAUGCAUUUUUUUCUUCUAGUCCUGCUUUGGUAAUUGUUUGUCAGAGCUCAGAAUCUAGCUUGGACUAGAUUUUAUUAUGGCCAGUAGGAUUGUUUAUUGGCCACAGGAUUGCUAUGAACAGCAUUAUAGUCAGAAAUCAGUGCAACAUGUUUACAGUUAGUUUUCCAUUUGCUUAGCUGUAAAUGUGGGACACAGAAAAUGACUAAUUCAUGAGUAAUAAAUUAUUUGGAAAUCCUGCCUUUCUAAAAUAAGCCAUUUUUUUGGCAAUGAAAGUCUGUUAAGUAAAUGGAAAUACUGGCCUGUUACAAGGAACCCUAAUAUAUUCCAGUAGAAAGCAUCUUACCCUCUUCACAUUUAGAAACCAAAGUCAAUCUGUACUUUUAGGAGAGCAUGCUCUACUAAUAUGAAUGGAAUCUUGAAUUAAAGAAACAUUCCUUAUAUGCAAUUUUUGUAAUUUCAGAAUGAUCAGAUUUUGUUUUAGACAUCAAUAUUUCUAAAGGAUAGCAUAAAACAUUAGAACCCAAGCAGAAAAAUGAUCAUUAAGUCCAGGAUAAAAGCUGAAGUUAUAAUGUUAUUCCAAAGAUCCAAUUCCACAGCCAUUCAGUAUUUAGGAGGGUUAAGAAGGCAUUUUACUUUUACACAACAAUUUGCCUGCUUGGUCUUCAGACACAGGAUGAAUCAGCACAGGGAUUUGAAAAGUGGAGUUGUCAGAUUUAUGAGUGCUGCAGAUUACCAGAUAUUAUGUCCAUCUUCAUUAUCUACAUCUAUUUUCAUAGAACAAAGUUAUUGGAUUUUAGAGUACAGGUUGCAACAGAUACAGAAUUGUCAUAUUUCUUGGAAAUGACAUUUGCUGAGAUGCAAACUAACAUUUAGAAUGACAUAUAUUGGGUUAUUUGUGUUGAAAUAAAGAGGAGAGGUGAAGUAAAGGGAUGGAUAUUAUGGCAGUAGAAGUAGAGUCAUUAGUUAAAAGUAUUGCUUGAAUCAGCAGGCAUUUUAUAGAUUUAAUGGAAGAAAUUUCUAACUAGAAAGACACAUUGCAGUGAAAUAUCACAAGUCUACCAUGAAGAGUCUGGCUGUAAGUUUUGUUGUCUUUUCAAUUCCCUCCAAGCCAGUUGUUUUCAUUUAUCUGUUUAAUCCUGAUUAUCUCCUCAGAUCUGUAUAGAAACACAAUAAUAAAGUCUGCUUGCCUUUCUCUUCAAAAAACUUCAGAGCAGACAUUAGCAGAUGUGAAUAGUUGCUUUUGAUUUCUUUAUAUCCUUUGUAGAAUGAUGAAUCUUGAUAUGUCAUGGAAGACUCUAAGAAAAUCAUGUAUUAUCAGGAAAAUGAAAAACUUUGUUAAUCCAUAUACAUUUUUCCUCCCAAGUAAAUUAACAAUUCAAAAUCUUGUACUAAACUUCAUUAAUUUUCUUCAUGAAUAAUUCCAUGUACAUCUCAGCAAUUUCUGUGUGAGAGGGUGAGAAGACUUGUCCUUUUAUAUUGCACUUGCUUGUAUAAAUGUAAAUAAAUCAGAAGUAGCUAAUCUACUGCCCACAUUUGACAAAGAAACAUAAUACUCUUGAUGUUUAUUGAAGUUUUUGGGUUACUUGAACAACGUUACUGUUCAACUUAAUUGUGACUGGAAAUAUUCUUAAUGAGCAUCCUACAAACUUUUAUAUAAAUGUUUGCUACAGCAGGAAUAAAAUACAAAGAUUUUGUAAAAGGAGAGAAAUACUCCAGUCUCAGACUGUGACGUUUUUGCACUUCAGCAUAAGCUUUAUUUUAAGUUAGUAGUUCAGAAAAAGUCACAUCGUUAAUGAUCACAACUUGCCAGUGGACAUUACUUAAUAUUUGGCUUAAUCUCCAGUUAUUAUAAUCCAUCUCAAAUACCAAUACAAGUUUAGAAAUAGUUAUUUGUCAAAACUAUAUCUGUUAAUUUUUGUUCUUUGGUCAUGCACCAGCCAAAUAAGCAAGUAUUUUCUUUAGUGCAUGAAGUCAUGUCAUGGUGUAAAUUUAAAGCUAAUUAACAUUCAUUGACAAACCAUUUAAGAUUGUAUGUAGGUUGACAUAAAGACGUUUUUUCCAAAAAGUUGUUACAUUUUUUCCAUGUUGCUUCAUUGUGGAUUUUGUGCUUAGCAUCUGACAUGUUUUCUCAACUACGGUUUUUUAAUGAAAACAUGAAAGCACUCUGGGGAAUGUGAUAAAAGCAAAAAUUCUAUGAUCUCUUCAAGGUAAAUGACAGCAUGGAAUUUGUCACAUCUGGAUCAAAAAUCUUUCAUCUAUUUACCUAAAUAAGCAUAUAAAAAUAUUUAGUCUAUUUACCUAAAUAAAGCAUAUCUGGGUAAUUAGGAUUGUAAUUCAAUAUAUAAGUUUCUUUUAAUAAUUUCUCAAUUGUCACUGAUAAUUUCAUUUGGUCGUAAGCAUUUAAAUGAUGUAUGUCUUGCUUUUCUCUGUUUCAAACAAAUAAAAGAUGAUUUGAAAAGAAA